AUGGCAGAGUUAUUUUGCUUACUAAAGGCCCGUUUUCUUUUCCUUUUAAAGACAUGCAACAGGAUUGUUUUUGCUUGUGAAAGAAUGAGUGGCGUCUGGGAUUUUCAUGACCAAGGAACAGAGCUGUUAGAGAUGGCUGAGAUGUUCUGUUUCAACAGAUGAAGCAGGGUAGAACAUCUGUUAUGUGAUAACUCGUAUGUGCUGUUCCCCAACCGGUAAGCAAUGCAUCCAAUGAAUUCACCUUAAGGAGAAGACCUGCACUGUGUGUGUGUGUGUGUGUGUGUGUGUGUGUGUGUGUGUGUACCUGCAAGGUGUGUUAGAUCAAUCAGUAUCAGAAGACACUGACUUCGUCACAGA
rnacentral:lncRNA from 1 species